rnacentral:rRNA from 1 species
AUGUUUCAUCAAUUGAGUCAUUGGCCAUGUUCUUAUGGAUUUUUGGAGGUCCUCAAUCAUUUGCUCAAGCCGAAAACCGUUUCGUACGCUCCCUUUGGACAGUUCACACAAAGUUUAAGGAAGUUUUGCUAUGUUUUGCUAUGUUUUCUGGCCUCAUUUCAAAGGCGCUAUUGGUGCCAUAGAUGGAUCUCAUGUUUCGGUGACAGUGCCCGCAGAUGA